UUUAGUGGAUUUUCUGGUGUCAUCAACUGGACAAAACAUGAGGACAUUUUUCGAAAGGACUAUCUUUUGAUUGUUGAGAAUGUUCUUAGAAAUCACUGGAGACUCAUGAUUGUGUGCUUCCCUGGAAAUGAAGAAGUAGAACACAUCAAAAAGGGACGAAAAUUGGUACAAAAAAGGAGGCCUUGCAUUUUAAUGCUAGACUCCCAGUCUGAGCAAGUGAGUGACACCAUGGAUGUGUUCCAAAACAUUCGAAGUUACUUAACAGAAAUGUGGAACCACACAAGAAAAAAGCCCCGUACAUUUUCUGCAGAUUCUAUGCCAGCCCUGAAA